AUACGGAGGAUCCGAGCGUUAUCCGGAUUUAUUGGGUUUAAAGGGUGCGCAGGCGGCCAUUUAAGUCAGCGGUUAAAUCGUGGGGCUCAACCCCAUUCUGCCGUUGAUACUGGGUGGCUUGAUUGCGGUCGAGGUUGGCGGAAUUCGUUGUGUAGCGGUGAAAUGCAUAGAUAUGACGAAGGACACCGAUUGCGUAGGCAGCUGACCAGACCGCAAAUGACGCUCAUGCACGAAAGUGCGGGGAUCGAACAGGAUUAGAUACCCUGGUAGUCCGCACAGUAAACGAUGAAUACUUGUUUUCGGCGAUAUAAUGUCGGAGGCAAAGCGAAAGCGAUAAGUAUUCCACCUGGGGAGUACGCCGGCAACGGUGAAACUCAAAUGAAUUGGCGGGG
rnacentral:rRNA from 1 species